UACGUAGGUGGCGAGCGUUGUCCGGAUUUACUGGGCGUAAAGAGCGCGCAGGCGGUCGUACAAGUCGCGUGUGAAAGCCCCCGGCUCAACUGGGGAGGGUCACGCGAUACUGUUCGACUCGAAGGCAGGAGAGGGAAGUGGAAUUCCCGGUGUAGUGGUGAAAUGCGUAGAUAUCGUAAGGAAGACCAGUGGCGAAGGCGGGUCUCUGGACAGUUCCUGACGCUGAGGCACGAAGGCCAGGGGAGCAAACGGG
rnacentral:rRNA from 1 species